rnacentral:rRNA from 1 species
GAACCAGUACCGUGAGGGAAAGGUGAAAAGCACUUCGAACAGAAGAGUGAAAUAGUUCCUGAAACCGUGCGCCUACAAGCGGUCGGAGCUCGUUAAUGAGUGACGGCGUGCCUUUUGCAUAAUGAACCUACGAGUUGCCUUUGCCGGCAAGGUUAAGUGUGACGACACACGUAUCCGAAGCGAAAGCGAGUCUGAAUAGGGCGUAUAGUCGGCAGUGGCAGACGCGAAACCAAGUGAUCUACCCUUGGCCAGGUUGAAGGCUGGGUAACACCAGCUGGAGGACCGCACCAAUAAGCGUUGAAAAGCUUCUGGAUGAGCUGAGGGUAGGGGUGAAAGGCUAAUCAAACUUGGAGAUAGCUCGUACUCCCCGAAAUGCAUUUAGGUGCAGCCUUGACUUAUACUGGCAUGAGGUAGAGCGACUGAUAAGAUGCGAGGGCUUCACCGCCUAUCAAGUCUUGACAAACUCCGAAUGCGCAUCAGUUCUACCGCAGGAGUGAGGGCAUGGGUGCUAAGGUCCGUGCCCGAGAGGAGAAGAAUCCGGACCACCUGCUAAGGUCCCGAAAUGACAGCUAAGUUAAACUAACGAAGUCUGACUGCUAAGACAGCUAGGAUGUUGGCUUGGAAGCAGCCAUUCAUUUAAAGAGUGCGUAACAGCUCACUAGUCGAGGAGUCGGGCGUGGAUAAUAAUCGGGUAUGAAGUUGUCUACCGAAGCAGUGGGAUCAUUUAUAUGAUCGGUAGGGGAGCAUUCCAGUCGGCGUCGAAGGCGUACCGUGAGGUAUUCUGGAGCGUCUGGAAAAGCAAAUGUAGGUAUAAGUAACGAUAAAGGGGGCGGGAAACCCCCUCGCCGAAAGACUAAGGUUUCCUGAUCAACGCUAAUCGGAUCAGGGUCAGUCGGGUCCUAAGGCUCAGCCGAACGGCGAUGCCGAUGGCAGAAACGGUUAAUAUUCCGUUACUACCUUCAGGAGUGACGUGGAGACGCAGUAGUGACAGUGCCGCCAUCUGACGGAAUAGAUGGUUGAAGGGUGUAGGAGUCGAUCAUGGCAGGCAAAUCCACCAUGAGAUCCGAACCUGAUAGUAUGCCGCGUCCUUCGGGACAAGGCAAUAGUGCGCGUAAGCAUGCUGCCGAGAAAAUCCGCUAAACUUAAUCCUGCAGGUACCCGUACCGCAAACGGACACACGUAGUCGGGAUGAAUAUUCUAAGGCGCUUGAGUGAUUCACGGUUAAGGAACUAGGCAAACUGACCCUGUAACUUCGGGAUAAAGGGUCCCUACCCUUUUAUGGGAGGGCGCAGAGAAUCGGUCCAGGCAACUGUUUAACAAAAACACAGGGCUGUGCCAAAUCGAAAGAUCCAGUAUACAGCCUGACACCUGCCCGGUGCUGGAAGGUUAAGAGGAGAUGUCAUCGAUAAGAGAAGCGUUGAAUUGAAGCCCCAGUAAACGGCGGCCGUAACUAUAACGGUCCUAAGGUAGCGAAAUUCCUUGUCGGGUAAGUUCCGACCUGCACGAAUGGUGUAAUGAUCUGGACACUGUCUCAACCGUGAGCUCAGUGAAAUUGUAGUAUCGGUGAAGAUGCCGAUUACCCGCGAUGGGACGAAAAGACCCCGUGAACCUUUACUAUAGCUUAUCAUUGAAUCUGGGCACGUGAUGUGUAGGAUAGGUCGGAGGCUUUGAAGCAGGUACGCCAGUAUUUGUGGAGCCGCUGUUGAAAUACGACCCUUUAUUUGUUUGGAUUCUAACCCGUGGAACGGGGACAUUGAUUGGUGGGUAGUUUGACUGGGGUGGUCGCCUCCAAAAGCGUAACGGAGGCUUCUAAAGGUGCCCUCACGACGAUUGGUAACCGUCGGCAGAGUGUAAUGGCAUAAGGGCGCUUGACUGGGAGACUAACAAGUCGAUCAGGUAGGAAACUAGAGCAUAGUGAUCCGGUGUUUCCGUAUGGAAGGGACAUCGCUCAAAGGAUAAAAGGUACUCCGGGGAUAACAGGCUGAUCCCUCCCAAGAGCUCAUAUCGACGGAGGGGUUUGGCACCUCGAUGUCGGCUCGUCACAUCCUGGGGCUGGAGAAGGUCCCAAGGGUUGGGCUGUUCGCCCAUUAAAGUGGCACGCGAGCUGGGUUCAGAACGUCGUGAGACAGUUCGGUCUCUAUCUAUCGUGGGCGUAUGAAAUUUGCGUGGCUCUGACACUAGUACGAGAGGACCGUGUUGGAC